rnacentral:misc_RNA from 1 species
UAUUCCUAAUUAGUAGAUUUUAUAUAUUUCUAAUUAGUAUAGGAUUUACAUUCCUAAUUAGUGUAGGAUUUAUAUUCCUAAUUAAGCAGAGUAAUUAUAGUAGAAUGUAUUUCUAAUUUAGUAGAGUAGUUAUAGAAUAUUUGUAUGUAAAUAUGUAAUCUUUUAUUUUAUAGAAUUAAUGAGAAUAAAGAUGUAACCCUUUGAGCUAUUUCCUUCUUUUUCUUUCUUCUACUUCUAAUUCUUAAACAUUAACAUGGUAUUAGAGCUUUGCUAAAAUUCUGUAAAUUUUUGAAAUUUCAUCCUUGUUUACGUUACCCACCUGCUGCCUUUCUAGGGCAGCUAUCUUGGGUGAUUUGUUUAUCUCAACGCCUCCCUAAGAAGAGAAAUCAGCUACUGACCAACCUUUCUCCAAUGUUCAUGAAGCACGUGGCCCACACACAAAAUGUUUGUCUUUCAACUCCCGAUUCACGUGUCGGCGCGUGUAGGUGCGCUUGGCAUCUUCCCGUCUGCCCCAACAUCCUCAUUCCAUCCUUAUACAUUUUUGCUUGGUUUGGUGCACCAUUGACAUACUUUUGAGGUUUGGCUCUUAGAUACUCCUUCCGGAAUCUAUUUAUUUUGAGACUUUAGACUGAUCUAGUGAUGUUGUUUGGUGCCUUCUUGGAGAUGCUUCAAACCUAUCUGUUGAGUACUUUAAGCCUUUGUGUAGUGGUUCUGUUUUAAGGGCUCUACUACCGCAUUGGUUUUGCUUCUGUGAGAAUUGGUUAAUUUCAGCAAUUUUUUUUAGGGGUGCUCUAUUUUGUUGGUUGUGUCUAGGAUUUUUGAGCUACAGCAAGAACUAUUUUGAGGGUGUUUUGGGUGAUUUUGAGUUGAGUCUUUAAGACAUAUCAUCCCUCGUCUGUUUUGCUUUAUUCAUUUAGAGCCUUGUGACCCUACUUGUUUUUGGUUUAUGUUGCUGUUUGGUCCCAUUUCAUACUCCAUUGAAGGUUUGAAGUUUUGACAGUCACUAUCUUGCAGCCAUAUGAGCUGUUUCAAUAAAGAUCCAUAUAUUGUUUCUUUUUUUCCCCCUCUUUUAACUUUGCCUUUGUAGAGGGAUGUGUAACAAAGUGAGUUGCAUUGUUUUGAUGUUUCGUCACCGACAUCGCAUUGCAGAGGGUUUGUCUUUUGUGUUCGUGCCUUUGUGUAGAUGUUUCUAAAUUUGCUUUUGGAGGAAGUUGUAAGGGAGUUAUUGGCUUUAAUGAGAAUCUCAUCAAGAAGAAGUGUUGUGAAAAGUCAAUAUCUAUACUUAGAAAAUUCCAAUUUAGUGUAAGAUUUGCAUUCCUAAAUAGAUUUGAUUUGUAUUCCUAAUUACUUGAGUAAUUAUAGUAGGAUUUAUAUUCC